GCGGCGGUAAUUCAGUGGUAGAAUGCUUCCUUGCCAAGGAAGAUGACAUGGGUUCAAGCCCCAUCCGCCGCU
rfam:Omnitrophica WOR_2 bacterium GWA2_47_8 gwa2_scaffold_2840, whole genome shotgun sequence.